rnacentral:misc_RNA from 1 species
GAUGAAGAACGCAGCGAAAUGCGAUAAGUAGUGUGAAUUGCAGACUUUAGUGAAUCAUCGAAUCUUUGAACGCACAUUGCGCCCCUUGGUAUUCCAUUGGGCAUGCCUGUUCGAGCGUCAUUUACACCCUCAAGCCUAGCUUGGUGUUGGGCGUUGUCCGCAAGGACUCGCCUCAAAUUCAUUGGCAGCGGCAUCGUCAGCUUCUCGCGCAGCACAUUGCGCUUCAGAAGGCUUCUGGCGGGCUCACGUCCACUAAGAUACCACCCAGUUUGACCUCGAAUCAGGUAGGGAUACCCGCUGAACUUAAGCAUAUCAAUAAGCGGAGGA